GGCCCGGACCAGAUGGAAGAAUGUGUCACGUCCCUGAGGCAGGGGAAUGCGUAAAGGGAAUGAAACCCAGAAGCCACAGGAUCAUUUACUCUUACUCCAAUUGCGGUCAAGUGUUCUGUGAUACAACAACAAACGAUGGGGGCUGGAUCAUAUUCCAGAGACGAAUCUUUGGCGAUGUGUCUUUUAACAGAACAUGGGCUGAAUACCAACGUGGAUUCGGAACUUAUUGCACGGACUACUGGUUGGGCUUAGAAACUAUCUCUUUAUUUACA
rnacentral:sRNA from 1 species